rnacentral:rRNA from 1 species
UACGUAAGGGGCAAGCGUUGUCCGGAAUCAUUGGGCGUAAAGAGCGUGUAGGCGGCCAGAAAAGUCCGCUGUGAAAACUCGAGGCUCAACUUCGAGCUGUCGGUGGAAACUUUCUGGCUAGAGUCCGGAAGAGGAGAAUGGAAUUCCUGGUGUAGCGGUGAAAUGCGCAGAUAUCAGGAAGAACACCCGUGGCGAAGGCGGCCACCUGGUUGGAUACUGACGCUGAGACGCGAAAGCGUGGGGAGCGAACAGG